CCUACGGGUGGCAGCAGUCGAGAAUUUUUCACAAUGGGGGAAACCCUGAUGGAGCGACGCCGCGUGGAGGACGAAGGCCCUUGGGUCGUAAACUCCUGUCAUGCGGGAACAAGAAAGUGAUAGUACCGCAAGAGGAAGAGACGGCUAACUCUGUGCCAGCAGCCGCGGUAAUACAGAGGUCUCAAGCGUUGUUCGGAUUCAUUGGGCGUAAAGGGUGCGCAGGCGGCGUGGUAAGUUGAGUGUGAAAUCCUGAGGCUCAACCUCAGAACUGCACUCAAUACUCCCACGCUAGAGGAAUGUAGAGGAGAGUGGAAUUCACGGUGUAGCAGUGAAAUGCGUAGAUAUCGUGAGGAAGACCAGUUGCGAAGGCGACUCUCUGGGCAUUUCCUGACGCUCAGGCACGAAGGCCAGGGGAGCAAACGGGAUUAGAUACCCCGGUAGUC
rnacentral:rRNA from 1 species